rnacentral:tRNA from 1 species
GCCCGGAUAGCUCAGAAGGUAGAGCAGGGGAUUGAAAAUCCCCGUGUCCUUGGUUCGAUUCCGAGUCCGGGCACCA